GUGGGGAAUAUUGCACAAUGGGCGCAAGCCUGAUGCAGCCAUGCCGCGUGUAUGAAGAAGGCCUUCGGGUUGUAAAGUACUUUCAGCGGGGAGGAAGGCGAUGUGGUUAAUAACCGCGUCGAUUGACGUUACCCGCAGAAGAAGCACCGGCUAACUCCGUGCCAGCAGCCGCGGUAAUACGGAGGGUGCAAAGCGUUAAUCGGGAAUUACUGGGCGUAAAGCGCAACGCAGGCGGUCUGUCAAGUCGAAUGUGAAAUCCCCGGCUCAAACCUGGGAACUGCAUCCGAAACUGGCAGGCUUGAUUCUCGUAGAGGGGGGUAGAAUUCCAGGUGUAGCGGUGAAAUGCGUAGAGAUCUGGAGGAAUACCGGUGGCGAAGGCGGCCCCCUGGACGAAGACUGACGCUCAGGUGCGAAAGCGUGGGGAGCAAACAGGAUUAGAUACCCUGGUAGUCCACGCCGUAAACGAUGUCGACUUGGAGGUUGUGCCCUUGAGGCGUGGCUUCCGGAGCUAACGCGUUAAGUCGACCGCCUGGGGAGUACGGCCGCAAGGUUAAAACUCAAAUGAAUUGACGGGGGCCCGCACAAGCGGUGGAGCAUGUGGUUUAAUUCGAUGCAACGCGAAGAACCUUACCUGUUCUUGACAUCCACAGAACUUGGCAGAGAUGCCUUGGUGCCUUCGGGAACUGUGAGACAGGUGCUGCAUGGCUGUCGUCAGCUCGUGUUGUGAAAUGUUGGGUUAAGUCCCGCAACGAGCGCAACCCUUAUCCUUUGUUGCCAGCGGUUAGGCCGGGAACUCAAAGGAGACUGCCAG
rnacentral:rRNA from 1 species